AAAAAAUUUUUAAACUUAUUUUUAAUUUUUUUAAAUUUUAAUUAAUUAAAAAUUACCAAAUUUUGAAAACACCAUUUUCAUACUUUUAAAAAAAAUUUAAACCAAUUUUUAUUUCUACCCGAGAGCUUUCUCAAGCUUCAAUGGCUUUUCAUAGCUCUCUCCAAAUUUUCUUCAGGGUUUGUGAUUUUCCUCCAUUUUCUCUCUUGUCCAAUAUACAAUCGGCGGCGAAAAGCUCUGUCUGAUUCAGAGGAUUUUAAUGGAGUUGGUUGUUGUAGAUGAUCACCAACAUUGUUGUUUAUAGCAUAUAUAGCAUAGCUUAGCUUAGCUAGGCUCGGAUAAUGAUUUUGGCUAUGGUAACAGUAACAUAAACAAAAACAGGGGCACCUGGGUCGAGGAUGCUUUUGCAGCUUCAUGAGGUUCAAACUAGGGAUCUUCUUCUUCUUCUUCUUCUUCUUCUCUCUAAUGGUGUUGUCGUACCCAUUGUUAUUCAAGCUGAUAUUGAUUGCUCUCAAGGCAAGAGGGGCAUUGAGAAAGUUCGUGUUUGCAACUUCCAAGAGGUCUCGUUUAAGAUUUUUUCCAUGGGUUUCUCCAAAAGCUUGGGCUGGGCCUGAUCUGAUUAUUAGUUCAGUGGUGAUACGAGUUUUUGAACAAUAUCAAUGUGUGAGAUACAGAACAAGAAGAAAAGCAGUAUGAGACCAAGUGGUAUUUAUAAUUCAAGGAGCUCCAAAAGUGGGAAAAAAAUUGGUUUCAACACUAUUGUUCAAGCCAGCUGAAGUAAGAAGUUGUGCUUUUUAAAGCAAAAAUGGUUGCUUCAGAAAGAUGAGUCAAAGCCUUUAUAAGUUUGAAGAAUCAAGAUAAACAACAGCAUGUAAGCUUAGCAAAAAACUUCAACAUUGAUCAAGUUUUUUUUAUGUGUUCACACUAGUUUUUAAGAUCUGUUUUAGGAAAAGUGGGGGUAAAGAGCAAGAUAUGGAGACUGCGUACAGUAGAGUUUUUCACGGGAUAUGUAUGGGAAACCUUUGACAAUAUAUAUAUAAAUGCAUUUUCUUCCUUGUACAUUUGAUAAUAUAGGUAUAUAUAUUAUACCAUAGAGCUUUAGAUUAAUGAUUAACUUGUUAUUUUUCCAAUCUUGGUUGUAGAGAAGAGAACUAAUCUAUCGUCGGUCUUCUCUGCUGUGGUUCCAGAGGUAGGUUUUCUUGCCUUAUAUCUAUUAUCUUUUUCUUAUUUGAAAAAGUUCUGGGUUAGUUUUUGGAAUGUUUGUUUGUAUUGAGGUUCAAGGUAGUGUAAGGUAACUGUGGUCUAUGUUACUCUUGAACUAAUGGCCAAUGCCCCACAAGUGUAUGAUAAAAUGAUGCAAAGAAACUGUAUAUACAUUAUGAGCUUGGACAGAUAGAAUAUGUUGUAUGAGCCCUUUGGUUUAAUGAAGUAUUCAAGAUAGUUUUAGAGGGUGAGCUAUAUAUUUCUAGGCUAUUAAUCCAGAGGACAAUAAUUUCUUGCAUGAGAUGAGAUAUAAUGAGCUUUGUAAGAAAGGAGAAGGGGAAAGUAUAUACCACUUAUAUACUUCCUCUAUGUUUAAUGACACAAUAAUUCGCAGGACAAAACUGUAUUGUCUCGGAGAGGAUUUCUUGUAUAAAUAUAUACAUAUAUAUAUUUUGUGUAUAUAUAGAGAAAGAGAGGUAUACUUUUCUUCUAUUGGAGAGAAGAGCUGUAGUUAUUUUGAUCUAGUUGAAGGUUUCUCAAACUUUUCAUUGGCUCUGAGAUUUCUGUGAAACUUUUCAAUUCUGAGCAGUCAGAUAAGUUUAGACUCACAAGAGAUGUCAGCUUACAGAUACUCAUUGGUAGGGUUUCAAGCUCUGUGCAAUUCAUUAGACAUAGAUCCUCAAGACUAGAGAGACUUUCUAAGGAAGACGAAGGCACUUCUUUUAUCUUAGUUCCCCUCAAGUCUAAUAAUCUAAUUUUCUUUGGAAGCUGCUCAGGAAACCUAUCAAAAGAUAAACAACCAUCUAAAUAUAGAUGAUUUAGAGACUCCAACUGUCCAAUUCCACUCGAAAGAUUCUUGAGGAAUUUACAAUUGCUAAGAUCCAAACUAGAAGGAUGAACAAGAGACCAAUUGAAGAGUGUAGCUCUUCUAUGGCAGUGGAAGAUAAACAAAUGUAUUUAAUGUUCCUAGACAUCUCUGAGAGAACUUUAAGAGUAGAGCAGCCACUGAGAUUAAGAAAGUAGUCUAUGUGUUCAUAAGAUUCCCACCACGAUGGUUUAUGAUCAGUCUCCUCAGGUCUCUAAUAAUCUAUAUCAUUAUAAUUGAUAUUGUAAUUUUUUUCUGCUACUAUUUUGUCUUUUGUAAAAUACUUGUGAGCAAGAAUUUGUUGAAAUUUGAGUGAAGGAGCUUCUUCCAAACUCUCACAGCCUUUAAGAAAUACUCUUCAAAUUAGCUUGAGAUAAAUCUGGCAUAUGAAUCAAAUUCUUUGAAAAACUGAGAUUGACAACUUUUAAGCUCUCAAGACACUGUAACAAAAGGAAAUGGCAAAAAUAAAUAAAUAAAUAUAUUCCUAGCUCACAUAUGUAUAUAAAGUAAAAUUAUGCCUUUAAUUUAAUAAUAUUAAAUGCCCCUAUAAUUUAAUUUAGCACAAAAAUAUGUCAACACAAAUGGAUAGUUAUAUUGAGGAAUACAAUAGAGUUGAGCAUGAGAUCUAUUUUAUCUAUUCUUUUGAACAAAUUAUCACACAUAUUCAACCAUCCUUGAUAUGAUUGAUAUUUGAAAAAAUGUGCCAUUAAUACCUAGUACAGUAGCUUUCAAAUGAUUGUAAAAUUGCAAGCAAAGAUGAAGAAAACACAUACAUAAAUUCAGAGAAGUCAAAAAAGAAAAUUUAUAACAAGUCCUGAUCUUGAUCCUCAUUUUAGUAGUUCAUUUUAGUAUUCUUUUCUUGUUUUCAAGUACUUUUCAAGGACUUUGCUAGCAUUCUUGGGGAACUUUUCUGUACUAAAACAAAUGUUAGUGUUUUCAACUCAAAUAAAUAUUAUUUGAUAUUUCUCUCCUUUUGGUACAUUUCUGUGUGUGCUGUGUUUAUAUAUGGAUAUGUAUACAUAAAAGAGUUAUAUUAACUGUUCUUAGAUUAAGGGCAGUAAAGUACUGUAAUUAUGCCAUUUGAUUUGGUUGUCAAACUUAAAGUUUUAUCUAUUGUUUGAAAUUCUAUAAAAUGGUUAGGCCAUAUGAAGAAUGGCUAUAAUUAUAAGCUUAUAAGAAAAUUUAUCAUUAUUGAAAACCUUUCUGUUGAGUUUUAGAGAAACAUACGUGCUUUCUAUCUAACCUAAUUUUCAAAUUGUGUUGAAACUUUUUGUUGUCAAAAACACUGAGAUGCUUUAGCACUACACUUGUGAUAUGUUUGGUAAUUUGAGUAAGUCCAAUUUUUAUUAACUUAGUGGAUGUAGGUGUAGCUACACUCUUCUUAAGCUUCACUUAGUGGUUGGCAUAUUAAUUAAAUUGAAUCCUUUAGUGCAGUAAUUAGCUAUAUUAACGAGCAAGAAUCACUACAACGCAUGAAUCGAAUUUUAUAUUUGCUUUACAUGUGGUUCUCUUAUCUUGUUGUUGUUUUGGAAUUUUGUUAUUUUUUUUUUGGCUUUGGUUCAUGGAUUUGCUCUGCAACUUUUCCAUGGUUUUUUAUUUGUAGUUUUCACUAUGUUUAUUUAAUUAAUGAAGUGUUAGUGCUCUCUUCUUUGAGGCUUGGUUUAUACUAAAAAAAAAUUUGGUCUAUAAAGUACAAUUGAACAUCAAAUUUGAGGCUAUUAGUAUGUUUUGCUUUUAUUUUGAAAACAGGGAAACGGAAAAUAGUGUGGUCUAUAAUUAGUUUGAAGCUCUUGUAAAAUAGUUAUUUUGAUUUAUUAAUAUCUAUUUUGAACUCAUAAGGAUGUCAAAGUAUAUGAUGAUAUGAUUGACUAUAUCAAUAGUAGUUGCUGGUACAAAAUAAUGGUAAGCCUUUUAUUUUGGUUGCUUUCUCACGAGCAUUCAAUUAAGUAUCAACGCAGAAUUCCAACUAUAUUUAGCUAGUCUCUCACAAGCCUAUUUGCACUUUUUCUUUCUAUAGACAUGGCUUUCCUUCUUUAUUUCUUUUAUUUGUAGCAAAUCAUACAGUUUAAAUGUUAUGUAUGCUUUUCUAAUUUUUUCCAUUCAUACUUCUGUUCUUAAGGUACCAUUUCCUAUCUUAUAGUUAUGUAAAUUAGAACUAGAAUUUUUCUAUGCAAAUAAAACCCGACAGGGGUGCUCCCUUUUGAGCAAUUGCAAUGGUGAAUCUAAGCAUAAUAGUAUUGACUCUCAAUAUAAAUGUAAUAAACUUUAAUUGGACUAAUAUAAGAUGAGUUUUUUUUUUAACUAAGAAGUUUCUGAUUUUUACGCCAUGCUUCGGAGGUUGGAAAUUAUGUAAAAGAUGAUGUAUGGCCUGCCCUUAUUGUUGAGACAAGCAAUGCUUCUGAUCUCCAUGUAUAUACUGUCAGGGCUUUAUACAGGGCAUUCUAACAUCAUCUGAACAGGCGGAUAUGACCGUGUUAGAAGACGAACGACCAACAAAAAGAUGACUUUCAUCAGCCUUUGUCAAGGAGAAAAAUGUCUCUUUCCCCAUCAAUUGGAGGAGCAAAGGAUACUUAAUUUUGAAGGCUUUGUGUUGGGUAGCUGUAGAAUAUUUUCUGCUGAAAGUAGUAACUUUUCAAUAUGUUGAAUAUUUAAGACUACUUGAAUACUUAAAGAAUAUUUUGUUGUUGAAAACAAUGUUGAAUGUUUUAAACUAAUUUGUGGAUUGUUAAUACAAUGUUGAAUGUUUUUACUUUUUGUUA